rnacentral:rRNA from 1 species
UACGGAGGGUGCGAGCGUUGUCCGGAAUCACUGGGCGUAAAGGGCGCGUAGGCGGCGACCCAAGUCAGAUGUGAAAGUCCUGGGCUUAACCUGGGGACUGCAUUUGAUACUGGGUUGCUUGAAUUCGGGAGAGGAUAGCGGAAUUCCCAGUGUAGAGGUGAAAUUCGUAGAUAUUGGGAAGAACACCGGUGGCGAAGGCGGCUAUCUGGACCGACAUUGACGCUGAGGCGCGAAAGCGUGGGGAGCAAACGGG